rnacentral:sRNA from 1 species
AUUCUGCCCAAGCGGGGAAGGAUGAGAAGCUUCGACCAAGGUUCGACUCGAGCGCCAGCGAGAGAGCGUUGCCGCAGGCAACGACCCGAAGGGCGAAGCGCGCAGCGCUGA